GCCGGGGUGGCGAAAUGGCAUACGCGUAGCUCUCAAAAAGCUAUGAGCUUAAAAGCUCGUGUGGGUUCAACUCCCACUCUCGGCACUA
rnacentral:tRNA from 1 species